rnacentral:lncRNA from 1 species
UCUCUCUCUCUCUCUCUCUCUCACUAGCUCACAAAAACACACCGGAAAACAUAGCAACCCUGCUCAGUAGCUACAAAGUCACUUACCACUACUUAACACCUCUGAAGUUGACCUAGGUCAUCGGAAGAAGUAGAGGACGCCAGAAAGCCUCGUCGGCAUCACCACAGCAGCUCGCCGGAAAACUCAAAAUCGACAGUAAAGGGGUUAUUAAGAUUUGUAAAAGAUUCGAGGGAUUAAGGGCACUAGGGUGCAGAGAAUGAAGGGAAAAGUUCAAAUAUACCAAUUCUAGGCCAAGUCGUCGCUGGAGACGGCGGAAACAAACGACACAGUCGGAGCUUCUCGCUGUCGAUUUGUCUUUGAAUCAGUAUGUGCGAUUCAUGGGCUGGGUUAUGUAGAUGGGAAAGAGAGAAGAAAUUUGGUGGUGGUUUUGUGGAGAAUGGUGGCCAGAGUCGGUCGGGCGGCGUCGGAGAAAACGGCCGGGGACGGAGAGCUUCUCAGCUCUCGUUGUACGCGAGAGAAGAGUGCAUGACCCGACUUGGGUCAGUUGACCUUGGUUGGGUUUUCAAAGAAGGAAUCAACGGUCAGGAUUAAAAGAGAACAAGAUCAAAAUGGUCUCCUUAUUUACGAAGAGUAACCUAUCUAUUUUGCGAACAUGGUGUACAAGCUGUUCGAAUCAUUAACUCACACUACGAGUAGACCAACUCUAAAGCGUCCAGAAUUCACACACACUUGAAGAAUUCUUGAGAGGUCUACCUGUUUGCAAAGCCUAGUCUGCUUAUUUACGAAUAUGGGUCUACUUUUUUGUGAGACAAAAUGGUCUACCUGUUUACGAACACUCACCUACCUGUUUUGUAAACAUGGUCUACCAGGUUUCCGAAUCAUUGACUCAUACUACGUGUAGACCAACUCUAAAGUGUCCAGAAUUCACACACUUGAAGAAUUCUUAAGAGGUUUACCUGUUUACGAAGUCUGGUCUGCUUAUUUAUAAGAAAAUGUCUACUUUUUUUGUGGGACAAAAUGGUCUACUUGUUUAUGAACACAAACCAACCUGUUUUGUAAACAUGGUGUACCAGGUUUCUAAAUCAUUUACUCAAACUACAUGUAGACCAACUUUAAAAUGUCCAGAAUUCACACAUACUUAAAGAAUUCUUAAGAGGUCUACCUGUUUACGAAGCCUGAUCUGCUUAUUUACGAGAAAGGGUCUACUUUUUUGUGAGACAAAAUGGUCUACCUGUUUACGAACACUAACCUACCUGUUUUGUAAACAUGGCCAACCAGGUUUUCGAAUCAUUGUCUCACACUACGAGUAGACCAACUCUAAAGAGUCCAGAAUUCACACACACUUGAAGAAUUCUUGAGAGGUCUACCUGUUUACGAAGCCUGGUCUGCUUAUUUACGAGUACGGGUCUACUUUUUUUGUGAGACAAAACGAACCUACCUGUUUUGUAAACAUGGUCUACCAAGUUUCCGAAUCAUUGACUCAUACUACGUGUAGACCAACUCUAAAGUGUCCAGAAUUCACACACACUUGAAGUAUUCUUGAGAUGUCUACCUGUUUACGAAGCCUGGUCUGUUUAUUUACGGGAAAUGGUACUUUUUUUGUGAGACAAAAUGGUCUACCUGUUUACGAACACAAACCUACAUGUUUUGUAAACAUGGUCUACCAGGUUUUCGAAUCAUUGUCUCACACGACGAGUAGACCAACUCUAAAGAGUCUAGAAUUCACACACACUUGAAGAAUUCUUGAGAGGUCUACCUAUUUACGAAGCCUGGUCUGCUUAUUUACGAGUACGGGUCUACUUUUUUUGUGAGACAAAAUGGUCUACCUGUUUACGAACACAAACCUACCUGUUUUAUAAACAUGGUCUACCAGGUUUUCGAAUCAUUGACUCAUACUACGUGUAGACCAACUCUAAAGUGUCCAGAAUUCACACACUUAAAGAAUUGUUGAGACGUUUACCUGUUUACGAAGCCUGGUCUGUUUAUUUACGAAUACGGGUCACUGUUUUUGUGAGACAAAAUGGUCUACCUGUUUACGAACACAAACCUACCUGUUUUGUAAACAUGGUCUACCAGGUUUUCGAAUCAUUGUCUCACACUACGAGUAGACCAACUCUAAAGAGUCCAGAAUUCACACACACUUGAAGAAUUCUUGAGAGGUCUACCUGUUUACGAAGCCUCGUCUGCUUAUUUACGAGUACGGGUCUACUUUUUUAUGAAACAAAAUGGUCUACCUGUUUACGAACACGAACCUACCUGUUUUGUAAACAUGGUCUACCAGGCUUCCGAAUCAUUGACUCAUACUACGUGUAGACCAAUUCUAAAGUGUUCAGAAUUCACACACACUUGAAGAAUAUCUGUUUAUUUUCAAGUAAAAGUCUAUGUGUUUUGCUACUUUCAUGAGACAUUUUCUCCUAUAAAGGUAGACGUUUCGGAUGGUCGUAUUUCACAUUGUUACGAAAGUGUACUGGUCUUAUAGGCAAAGUCUACUCAUUUUGUAAACAAAGCCUACCCAUUUAGCGUGUCGAGUCUACUACAUUCAUGAAACAUUUGCUCCUAUAAAAGUAGACAUAUUAUAGGGUUGUACUUCAAAGUGUUACGAAAUGUACUGCUCUUAUAUGCAAGGUCUACAAAGUCUACUCAUUUAAUAUGCCGAGUCGACUUUUCAUUAGACGUUUGAAAAGGUUGUUCCACUAACUCUACUACUUUCAUUUGAUUGGUUCUUAGACAUUUUCAUAAGACAGUUGCUCAUGUAGACUUUGCAUACGAGAGUCUACUCCAUACAUAAGCAUACAAGCACAAAUGCAACCAGCAACAUUGGAUCCAAUAGCAUUGCCUGGGCCUCUCUUUCCUUUCCUCUUCUUAGCCACCCCCUCAGCCUCCUUUUGAGCCAUUCUCACCUAUGUCAUUCUCUAUGCUAACAAGAUAAAACAUAAAGCAUAUCAGAUGCUAUCAAAAACAGAACAACCUAGCUUAUUGCAAAUUGAAGUUACCAUUAAUAAUGCUAGUUGUAUAUACCCUGAGCAAUAUGAGGUCGUGGAUAUAAAAUGUGUAAACUAUGAAAUUAAAUGAAAUUAAUACUAGUGGUAGCACCUUCCGAAUGCAACUAUAGAAGACCAAGUUUUGCAUCUCAUGAGCAACAUCUCCA